rnacentral:misc_RNA from 1 species
GAUGAAGAACGCAGCGAAAUGCGAUAAGUAAUGUGAAUUGCAGAAUUCAGUGAAUCAUCGAAUCUUUGAACGCGCAUUGCGCCCGCCAGUAUUCUGGCGGGCAUGCCUGUUCGAGCGUCAUUACAACCCUCAGGCCCCCGGGCCUGGCGUUGGGGAUCGGCGGAAGCCCCCUGCGGGCACAACGCCGUCCCCCAAAUACAGUGGCGGUCCCGCCGCAGCUUCCAUUGCGUAGUAGCUAACACCUCGCAACUGGAGAGCGGCGCGGCCACGCCGUAAAACACCCAACUUCUGAAUGUUGACCUCGAAUCAGGUAGGAAUACCCGCUGAACUUAAGCAUAUCAAUAAGCGGAGGA